UGGGGAAUAUUGCACAAUGGAGGGAACUCUGAUGCAGCGACGCCGCGUGAGUGAAGAAGUAUUUCGGUAUGUAAAGCUCUAUCAGCAGGGAAGAAGAUGACGGUAACCGGAGAAGAAGCCCCGGCUAACUUCGUGCCAGCAGCCGCGGUAAUACGAAGGGGGCUAGCGUUGUUCGGAUUUACUGGGCGUAAAGCGCACGUAGGCGGACUAUUAAGUCAGGGGUGAAAUCCCGGGGCUCAACCCCGGAACUGCCUUUGAUACUGGUAGUCUUGAGUUCGAGAGAGGUGAGUGGAAUUCCGAGUGUAGAGGUGAAAUUCGUAGAUAUUCGGAGGAACACCAGUGGCGAAGGCGGCUCACUGGCUCGAUACUGACGCUGAGGUGCGAAAGCGUGGGGAGCAAACAGG
rnacentral:rRNA from 1 species